ACGAAGGGGGCUAGCGUUGUUCGGAAUUACUGGGCGUAAAGCGCACGUAGGCGGAUUUUUAAGUCAGGUGUGAAAUCCCGGGGCUCAACCUCGGAACUGCAUUUGAAACUGGAAGUCUUGAGACCAGGAGAGGUUAGCGGAAUACCGAGUGUAGAGGUGAAAUUCGUAGAUAUUCGGUGGAACACCAGUGGCGAAGGCGGCUAACUGGACUGGUACUGACGCUGAGGUGCGAAAGUGUGGGGAGCAAACAGG
rnacentral:rRNA from 1 species